rnacentral:lncRNA from 1 species
AACCCUCUUAUGGUUUCGCGAAAAGACACCUUACCCCCCUAUCGUUUAGAAAUAUGCACAUAAACACCCUAAACUUUAUAAUUAAAGUGGAAAUUACUUUUUGAACCGGCUGAGUUACCGGCAACACGUCGAAUACCCAAAAUACCCUCAUUUAUAAUAGAGAGGGAGAGAGAAUCAAGAACUGACUCAGCUUAUUAGCUAGAUUUGACAGAGUGGAUCGCCUAGGCUCUUUGUUCUGGUCUUGUCUUGGGUUAAGAGGAAAUUUCUUCGCCGGAAUUCUCUGUGGUAGGUGGACAAGCCUAAAGACUCUGAUUCGGUCUUCGUAUAUGAUCCGAAUCAGAGAUGAUGUAAUGGAUACAAUUUGCUAUCAAAUUGGAGACGGAACCUCGGUAAGUUUUUGGCAUCAUCCUUGGCUUACGAAUGGCCCCUUAUCCCUAUAGUCGACUGCAGUAUAAGGUCUAUCUCUCGUAUUCCAGAAGCUGCUCGCCUUUCGGACCUUCUUGGUAAGAAGAGGCGGAUUCCUCCUCAAGUAAGAAAAGAUUUUCUGGAGGACAUAUGGCAAGUGAUUACGGCAUUGGAAAUUCUCCCAGUACCUUUGCGACAGGAUCUCUGCACUACUCCUCCUCUUCCUCCUGUGUUGCAAUCGGAGAUUCUUCAAUCAUGCAUCGUACAAUUAGCUCAUCGGGUUCACUGAUAGAGGAGGCUCGGACGAGCUCGACAACAAGCACGCUUCACAUUAUAGGCACUAGCUCCACCUCCACCUCCUCCACCACCACCACCACCAACUCAGUCAACAAAGGUGGAAUCAAUGAUUCAACAACAACGGCAAGUGACGAUGAUGACGGUGGAGAGGGAGACGUGAACGAAGUGCUAAACCCUGAAGAUUUUAUCACAGUUUUGAAAUAUUCCGUCAGCCCUUAUGAUGAUUUCAAGAAAUGAUUGAAGUACUAAACCAUGAAAUGAUUGACGCAAGACUGCAUCACAAUGGGAAAAUUGAUUAGGAAUUCAUGGAAGAGCUCUUGUUUUGCUACUUGAACUUAAAUGAUAAGAAAUCAUACAGGUUCAUCCUCAGAGCAUUUGUGGACCUGAUUGUUGUCUUACGUGAAAAUUCGAGUGGAGCCCCUGCAAAGUCGAGGAGUGCUCGAUCCGAUAGGAAAGAAACCGAAAGCGAAGGUUUCCACCAGCCCCACCCCACACCCC